CCGGAGCGAGUGGUGCAGUUUAAGAAGGCCACAGCAAAACUAACCGUCGAUGAGUUACUGGAAUUGGUGAACGAGCCUUUGGAAAUGUCAGUGCCGACUUCACACACAAUGACAGCUGCAAUCGACGCGGCGAACGAAGAAGAAGAAGGAAACUCCAGAGGAAGAGGAACAGGCGCAGAAGAAGAAAUCCCCGCCAGGUA